AGCUUGCUUCUCCCCGGCGACGAGUGGCGAACGGGUGAGUAAUACAUCGGAACGUGUCCGCUCGUGGGGGACAACCAGCCGAAAGGUUGGCUAAUACCGCAUGAGUUCUACGGAAGAAAGAGGGGGACCCGCAAGGGCCUCUCGCGAGCGGAGCGGCCGAUGAUUGAUUAGCCGGUUGGUGAGGUAACGGCUCACCAAAGCAACGAUCAGUAGCUGGUCUGAGAGGACGACCAGCCACACUGGGACUGAGACACGGCCCAGACUCCUACGGGAGGCAGCAGUGGGGAAUUUUGGACAAUGGGCGCAAGCCUGAUCCAGCUAUUCCGCGUGUGGGAUGAAGGCCCUCGGGUUGUAAACCACUUUUGUAGAGAACGAAAAGACACCUUCGAAUAAAGGGUGUUGCUGACGGUACUCUAAGAAUAAGCACCGGCUAACUACGUGCCAGCAGCCGCGGUAAUACGUAGGGUGCGAGCGUUAAUCGGAAUUACUGGGCGUAAAGGGUGCGCAGGCGGUUGAGUAAGACAGAUGUGAAAUCCCCGAGCUUAACUCGGGAAUGGCAUAUGUGACUGCUCGACUAGAGUGUGUCAGAGGGAGGUGGAAUUCCACGUGUAGCAGUGAAAUGCGUAGAUAUGUGGAAGAACACCGAUGGCGAAGGCAGCCUCCUGGGACAUA
rnacentral:rRNA from 1 species